AUAAUUAGUGGACAUUGAAUUGGGCUAAAACUUAAAUGGCCUACUUUGAAGACAGAGAGACACACAUCAAUGGAAAAAAAAAAUGAAGGGGAAUGGAAUUCUUUGAGAGUCAAAAAACGGGGGCGAGGCUAAUUUUUUAUAUAUACACAGAGGAACGAAUCGAGAGGGACGAUAGAAAGGGACGACUGCCAGAGAAAGAAAUCAAGGAAUUACACAGCACUUGCAAAAGGAAAACGGCAAAGAGAUUGAGGGGUCCUUUUGACGAGAGUUGGAGAAUAACCUAGAAAAUAUUUGUCUUCUGGGUGAGUCAACAAAAAAUCGGCAGUGGGGCUGAAUUUUAUAUAUUUUAUACGCUAAUUAGGAGAAAAAUUGGAGCUGCUGGGAGGAGAAAAUAAGGCUGCCAACCGGAUGGAAUAACACAAACAAAAGGGUUGUGCUUUGGCUGGGAGGAGAGACAUAUUAAAAACAUUGGAUGACUGGGAAAUUGAAGAAGCAGAAUUGUUACACACGCAUAUAGGCGGCAAUUGAAUUGGGCAGCAGCUUCAAGGAUAAAUUGCAGUCAAAAACUACGGCAAAUAUGAAGACGACAACCGCAAGAAAGACACGGAUUAUUGGGUUAUAAUUGAAGUUAAACACGUCCGUCAAUUUUCGGUGAUGUCCUUCCGCUUUUAUUUGUUUGAUUCCAAUAAUAUGUUAGGCUAAUUCGUUUCUUGUAUUGGAUGAUGACAAAAUUGUUUAAUUUUUAAUUUUAAUUCAAGACCUAUGUUUUUAUGUUAAUUAUUG
rnacentral:lncRNA from 1 species